rnacentral:tRNA from 2 species
AAAAAGAUAAGCUAAUAAAGCUAAUGGAUUCAUACCCCAUUUAUAAAGGUCAUGCCCCCUUUUCUUUUUA